UUCUAUGUUUAGUUUAUUCAGUCUUAAGAGAAAUAGCUAUGAAACAUAUUCUAUCAUCUAAAUGUGGCCUAUUAUAAGUUAUAACCUCAAGUAUUCGUACGCUUUCUGUUAGAAAUUCUAAGAAAUUUAUCAAUAAAGCUACUUUUCGCAUUGAAAUUAUUUUUGUAAUAAUUUGCUGGUACUUUUGUGAUACAAUAAAGCGUAAUUCUAGGACAGCAACUUCCCAACCUUAAGUUACGAUAAAACAUAAAACUAUCAAAGAUAAGCAUUUAUCUAGAUAUAUCCAUAUACAUAAAGACGAAAUGUGUGUAUGUUUGCACCCUAACUUCUCCGAGUCUAUUUGGCCUGUCUCAACCAAAAUUUGCAUGUAAAGGCUAUGAGUAUGAGCUAUGUGCAACGUUUCAAGUGGGUCAAAAUUGAACUUAACCAUAUUUCUAUUUUGUAGACUUUGUUAAGUUUGAUAGCAGGAAUUGGAAAGUUUGGAUUGAAAGUUGAAGACUAGGUCAUCAUGAGAGGAGCUAAGAAUAAUUUUUGAUGAAGAGAGUGGAGCAUAAACCUUAAGGAGUUUCAGAGGUGAUUUGACCCUCAAUACAUGCAUGAAGAAUGACCAGAGUGGCUGAAAAUCUCAUACUUUGUGUAUUUGUUUGAUUUAUGAGCUCCAGCUAAAGCUGCCCCAUAAUUGGAGAAAGAAGUGUUUUACACCAGUUUUGAAUAGGAGGAUGUAGAAGACCAGGCUGCUGUGAAAGAUGACUGUUGAUAAAUAAUUUCUGAGAAAGUGUGAUGUUUGUGAGAAGAAAGGAGCCAAAAAAGUAAAGACUCUAGGCUAGGAUACAGCUAUGAAAACUCUCUUCUCAAGAGACCAAGACUCAAGUUUUAUGGUGCCAAAUGUCAGGAAAAAGGAAAAAUUUCAGUUGACAGGGAUUGAAACAGUUACAUUUUUUAAUGUAUUUGGAAGUGGUGGCAAUAAAGACGAAGGUAAAAAAAGGCAAUCAGAAAAAAAAGACAAAGAAAAUUACACAAAGAGUUAUCUGUUGUAUUGGCCCAUUCACCUAGGACGUCAUGUGUGCCUGCUGGUGGGGAAGAUGCUGGUAGAACAUGCUAUGUGAAAGAAAGCAAUCUUCUUCCACUGGCGGAUCAGCUGAUACUUUGAUGUUACAACUUCUCUUAUUCUUCGAUAGGAAGGACCAACAGCAAUUGGGUAGUAUACAUAGAUCAUUGGAAGCUCGAGAAAAGACACCGUUUAUCGUACAGACUUGUUAACUUUAUAUUUUGUGUAUUAAUAAAAAUGUUU
rnacentral:lncRNA from 1 species